rnacentral:rRNA from 1 species
CCUACGGGAGGCAGCAGUGGGGAAUAUUGCGCAAUGGGCGAAAGCCUGACGCAGCGACGCCGCGUGAGGGAUGAAGGCCUUCGGGUCGUAAACCUCUUUCAGCAGGGAAGAAGCGCAAGUGACGGUACCUGCAGAAGAAGCACCGGCUAACUACGUGCCAGCAGCCGCGGUAAUACGUAGGGUGCAAGCGUUGUCCGGAAUUAUUGGGCGUAAAGAGCUCGUAGGCGGUCUGUCGCGUCUGCUGUGAAAACCCUAGGGCCUAACUCUGGGCGUGCAGUGGGUACGGGCAGACUAGAGUGCGGUAGGGGAGACUGGAAUUCCUGGUGUAGCGGUGAAAUGCGCAGAUAUCAGGAGGAACACCGGUGGCGAAGGCGGGUCUCUGGGCCGUAACUGACGCUGAGGAGCGAAAGCAUGGGGAGCGAACAGGAUUAGAUACCCUGGUAGUCCAUGCCGUAAACGUUGGGCGCUAGGUGUGGGGUCCAUUCCACGGAUUCUGCGCCGCAGCUAACGCAUUAAGCGCCCCGCUGGGGAGUACGGCCGCAAGGCUAAAACGUUAAUGAAUUGACGG